GAAUUCGCCCUUGGGGAAUUUUCCGCAAUGGGCGAAAGCCUGUCGGAGCAAUACCGCGUGAGGGAGGAAGGCUCUUGGGUUGUAAACCUCUUUUCUCAGGGAAGAACAGAAUGACGGUACCUGAGGAAUAAGCAUCGGCUAACUCCGUGCCAGCAGCCGCGGUAAUACGGAGGAUGCAAGCGUUAUCCGGAAUGAUUGGGCGUAAAGGGUCCGCAGGUGGCAUUGUAAGUCUGCUGUUAAAGAGUUUGGCUCAACCAAAUAAGAGCAGUGGAAACUACAAAGCUAGAGUGUGGUCGGGGCAGAGGGAAUUCCUGGUGUAGCGGUGAAAUGCGUAGAUAUCAGGAAGAACACCAGUGGCGAAGGCGCUCUGCUAGGCCGAGACUGACACUGAGGGACGAAAGCUAGGGGAGCGAAUGGGAUUAGAUACCCCAGUAGUCCUAGCCGUAAACGAUGGAUACUAGGCGUAGCUCGUAUCGACCCGAGCUGUGCCGGAGCUAACGCGUUAAGUAUCCCGCCUGGGGAGUACGCAGGCAACUGUGAAACUCAAAGGAAUUGACGGGGGCCCGCACAAGCGGUGGAGUAUGUGGUUUAAUUCGAUGCAACGCGAAGAACCUUACCAAGGCUUGACAUGUCACGAAUCCUAUUGAAAGAUGGGAGUGCCUUCGGGAGCGUGAA
rnacentral:rRNA from 1 species